rnacentral:rRNA from 1 species
CCAAUAGCGUAUAUUAAAGUUGUUGCAGUUAAAAAGCUCGUAGUUGAAUUUCGGGAUUGACGUGACGGUCGUGCCUUACGGGGUAUGAACUGUCGCCGUUGAUUUCUCACCUUCUGGAGAAGCUCGAUGUCCUUAAUUGGGUGUCUUGCGGAACCAGGACCUUUACCUUGAAAAAAUUAGAGUGUUUAAAGCAGGCAUUUUGCUCGAAUACAUUAGCAUGGAAUAAUAGAAUAGGACGGCAUGGUUCUAUUUUGUUGGUUUCUAGGAUCACCGUAAUGAUUAAUAGGGAUAGUUGGGGGCAUUAGUAUUCAAUUGUCAGAGGUGAAAUUCUUGGAUUUAUUGAAGACUAACUACUGCGAAAGCAUUUGCCAAGGAUGUUUUCAUUAAUCAAGAACGAAAGUUAGGGGAUCGAAGACGAUCAGAUACCGUCGUAGUCUUAACCAUAAACUAUGCCGACUAGGAAUCAGACGAUGUUAAUUUUUAAUGACUCGUUUGGCACCUUACG